GUCUAAGUAUAAGCAACUAUACGGUGAAACUGCGAAUGGCUCAUUAAAUCAGUUAUCGUUUAUUUGAUAGUACCUUACUACAUGGAUAACCGUGGUAAUUCUAGAGCUAAUACAUGCUAAAAACCUCGACUUCGGAAGGGGUGUAUUUAUUAGAUAAAAAACCAAUGCCCUUCGGGGCUCCUUGGUGAAUCAUAAUAACUUAACGAAUCGCAUGGCCUUGCGCCGGCGAUGGUUCAUUCAAAUUUCUGCCCUAUCAACUUUCGAUGGUAGGAUAGUGGCCUACCAUGGUAUCAACGGGUAACGGGGAAUUAGGGUUCGACUCCGGAGAGGGAGCCUGAGAAACGGCUACCACAUCCAAGGAAGGCAGCAGGCGCGCAAAUUACCCAAUCCCGACACGGGGAGGUAGUGACAAUAAAUACUGAUACAGGGCUCUUUUGGGUCUUGUAAUUGGAAUGAGUACAAUUUAAAUCCCUUAACGAGGAACAAUUGGAGGGCAAGUCUGGUGCCAGCAGCCGCGGUAAUUCCAGCUCCAAUAGCGUAUAUUAAAGUUGUUGCAGUUAAAAAGCUCGUAGUUGAACCUUGGGCCUGGCUGGCCGGUCCGCCUCACCGCGUGUACUGGUCCGGCCGGGCCUUUCCUUCUGGGGAACCUCAUGCCCUUCACUGGGCGUGUUGGGGAACCAGGACUUUUACUUUGAAAAAAUUAGAGUGUUCAAAGCAGGCCUUUGCUCGAAUACAUUAGCAUGGAAUAAUAGAAUAGGACGUGUGGUUCUAUUUUGUUGGUUUCUAGGACCGCCGUAAUGAUUAAUAGGGAUAGUCGGGGGCAUCAGUAUUCAAUCGUCAGAGGUGAAAUUCUUGGAUUGAUUGAAGACUAACUACUGCGAAAGCAUUUGCCAAGGAUGUUUUCAUUAAUCAGUGAACGAAAGUUAGGGGAUCGAAGACGAUCAGAUACCGUCGUAGUCUUAACCAUAAACUAUGCCGACUAGGGAUCGGGCGGUGUUAGUAUUUUGACCCGCUCGGCACCUUACGAGAAAUCAAAGUUUUUGGGUUCUGGGGGGAGUAUGGUCGCAAG
rnacentral:rRNA from 1 species